CAUGGCAUGCCUUCAUCUUCUUAUUCUUUAUUUACAUGUGCAGAAGCAGAGCAGUCUGAUGAAGGGGCCUGACAGAUGAAAUAAUUGAUCUUGCCUCUGCUGAGCCUCUGAGUUGGGACUCUUCUCCGGCUGUGAGCUGAAAGAUGAAAGAGGAAGAAUCAUUUCUUCUGAGAAUUCAGGUGCUUCUCUUAAACAUGAAAGAACCUCUUUUUUUUUUUUUUUUUUAUCAGGGAUCAGGAAUAGAAAUAUACCAAAUUAUCUGUUGAUUGUCUGUUUUUGUCCUUGCAUUUCUGACUCAUUGGGAGAAUUCCAUUAUGAACAUACAUAUCCUAGUGGAAAUUUAAAAUAUACGAUGUGAGAAAUAUGAAGUGAAACUGCAGU
ensembl:lncRNA